GGGCUUGGGUAGGAUUAGAUGAGAUCUAUUGCAUGUGGGGUUAAAAGAUUUAAUCCAAUUAUUUUUUUCACUAUGAUCAAAAAAAAUUUUGAAAUCUAUACAUGCACUCUAUCUGACUUUUCAACACAUCUCAUGCUAAUAGGAUAGUUGCAUUUUUUUGGUGUAACUGAACCACUGUAAUCAGUCAAGAACAAUCAACACCAGUAGGACAUCCAUACUCCUACAACGGUGGAAAAUCUAGGACUUAAUAUUUGUGGAGAGAUUUUGAUUUAGUUCUUAUCUAAUUAGCCAUCACCAUGACUAGUCC
rnacentral:lncRNA from 1 species